rnacentral:rRNA from 2 species
GAUAGGAAUUCCACGUGUAGCGGUGAAAUGCGUAGAGAUGUGGAGGAACACCAGUGGCGAAGGCGACUCUCUGGUCUGUAACUGACGCUGAGGAGCGAAAGCGUGGGGAGCGAACAGGAUUAGAUACCCUGGUAGUCCACGCCGUAAACGAUGAGUGCUAAGUGUUAGGGGGUUUCCGCCCCUUAGUGCUGCAGCUAACGCAUUAAGCACUCCGCCUGGGGAGUACGGUCGCAAGACUGAAACUCAAAGGAAUUGACGGGGGCCCGCACAAGCGGUGGAGCAUGUGGUUUAAUUCGAAGCAACGCGAAGAACCUUACCAGGUCUUGACAUCCUCUGACAAUCCUAGAGAUAGGACGUCCCCUUCGGGGGCAGAGUGACAGGUGGUGCAUGGUUGUCGUCAGCUCGUGUCGUGAGAUGUUGGGUUAAGUCCCGCAACGAGCGCAACCCUUGAUCUUAGUUGCCAGCAUUCAGUUGGGCACUCUAAGGUGACUGCCGGUGACAAACCGGAGGAAGGUGGGGAUGACGUCAAAUCAUCAUGCCCCUUAUGACCUGGGCUACACACGUGCUACAAUGGACAGAACAAAGGGCAGCGAAACCGCGAGGUUAAGCCAAUCCCACAAAUCUGUUCUCAGUUCGGAUCGCAGUCUGCAACUCGACUGCGUGAAGCUGGAAUCGCUAGUAAUCGCGGAUCAGCAUGCCGCGG